CAAUAGCGUAUAUUAAAGUUGUUGCGGUUAAAAAGUUCGUAGUUGGAUUUCUGUAACUCGAGACCCUGCGCCAAUGGCGAUGUGUGGUUUACGUGUUGCAUAAUUCUAGUGACGCGGAGUAUAAGCGUUGUCUGGAAACGUUACUUUGAGGAAAUUAGAGUGUUCCAGGCAGGCAUAAGCUAUGAAUACGGUAGCAUGGAAUAACAAAAUACGGCCUCGGCUUUAUUUUGUUGGUUUCUAGAGCCGGAGCAAUGAUUAAUAGGGACAGUCGGGGGCAUUCGUAUUUUGCUGUCAGAGGUGAAAUUCUUAGAUUAGCAAAAGACGGACUACUGCGAAAGCAUCUGCCAAGGAUGUUCUCGUUGA
rnacentral:rRNA from 1 species